rnacentral:rRNA from 1 species
CCUUCGGGGUGAAGUUGGCGCUGACGAGUGGCGGACGGGUGAGUAAUACAUAGGAAUCUACCCAGUAGUGGGGGAUAACUUGGAGAAAUCCAUGCUAAUACCGCAUAUGCCCUACGGGGCAAAGCAGGGGACCCUCGGGCCUUGCGCUAUUGGAUGAGCCUAUGUCGGAUUAGCUAGUUGGUGGGGUAAAAGCCUACCAAGGCAACGAUCCGUAGCUGGUCUGAGAGGAUGAUCAGCCACACUGGACUGAGACACGGCCCAGACUCCUACGGGAGGCAGCAGUGGGGAAUAUUGCACAAUGGGCGCAAGCCUGAUGCAGCAAUGCCGCGUGUGUGAAGAAGGCCUGCGGGUUGUAAAGCACUUUUAUUAGGAAAGAAAAACCCGGAGCUAAUACCUCCGGCAUUGACGGUACCUAAAGAAUAAGCACCGGCUAACUCAGUGCCAGCAGCCGCGGUAAUACUGAGGGUGCAAGCGUUAAUCGGAAUUACUGGGCGUAAAGCGAGUGUAGGCGGCUAUUUAAGUCGGAUGUGAAAUCCCCGGGCUCAACCUGGGAAUUGCAUUCGAUACUGGAUAGCUAGAGUUUGGUAGAGGUAAGUGGAAUUUCGGGUGUAGCGGUGAAAUGCGUAGAUAUCCGAAGGAACAUCAGUGGCGAAGGCGGCUUACUGGACCAAAACUGACGCUGAGGCUCGAAAGCGUGGGGAGCAAACAGGAUUAGAUACCCUGGUAGUCCACGCCCUAAAACGAUGUCAACUAGACGUUGGGCUCAUUAAUGAGCUUAGUGUCGCAGCUAACGCGUUAAGUUGACCGCCUGGGGAGUACGGCCGCAAGGUUGAAACUCAA